rnacentral:lncRNA from 1 species
ACCCUCUGUUUUUAACCUCUGUGUGUGUAUGUGUGUGUGUGUGUGUGUGUGUGUGUGUGUGUGUGUGUGUGUGUGUGUGUGUGUGUGUGUGUGUGUAUAUCAGUGUGAGGAGGGGCUGCAGGUCCAUCAGGACUGAAAGAAGGUUCCAGGUUUUUGGACCAGAACCAGAGAAGAACCCACACUCCUUCAGCUCCACACUGAACUCUGUGUUGUGGACAGCCAAUGACGUCCUCCUGCUGGUUGCCGAGGACUUCUACCAGAGCGAGCGUCUCAGCAGGUUCUUCCUGGUUCCUGACCGUUUGGACCAAUGGGCUGAAAGCAUGCAGCAGAGGCUGUUGGGAUACCAGGAGCAGAGCAGGAAGUUUCUGAAAACGAACAGAGAGGCGUGUGAACGUCCGUCAGCUGCGAGCGUCUCUCAGAGAAGACGAGCUUCAGACUCUGAACAGCAGAGAAGAGCUCAGACAGCAGCAGCUGCACAGCACCGUCUGCUGCGCACACCUGGAACUACAGGUGUGUGUGAGAGUCCGAGGGGAGGAGUUUGUGACAUCACUGGCCUCUCUGACAGAGCGGCUGCUCUCUCAGCUGGACGACCUGCUCAUACCUGAAGGUAACUGACUGCAAGUAACUGACUGAAGGUAACUGACUGAAAGUAACUGACUGAAAGUAACUGACUGAAGGUAACUGACUGAAAGUAACUGACUGA